CGGAGACUCACUGAAAUCCUGACCCCCUGCAAACACAAGCAGGGCAGAUGCUUCAGGAGAUGGAAGCAGGUCUCAGUGAGCAGCCCGAGCUUUUUGCCUGCGGUGGUGGAGAUUAAUUGGCUUCUGCUGGCUGGCUGCACCAUCUAUGGGAAGCCUGGAUGCUGUCAUCGUAACAGUCAUAAUUCAGGUGUGAAAACAUUAACUCCAACUAGAGGGAGCUUCGGAGAAGGCAAUGGCAACCCACUCCAGUACUCUUGCCUGGAAAAUCCCAUGGAUGGAGGAGCCUGGUAGGCUGUAGUCCACGGGGUCGCUAGGAGUCAGACACGACUGAGGGACUUCACUUUCACUUUUCACUUUCAUGCAUUGGAGAAGGAAAUGGCAACCCACUCCAGCGUUCUUGUCUGGAGAAUCUCAGGGAUGGGGGAGCCUGGUGGGUUGCACAGAGUUGGACAUGACUGAAGCAACUUAGCAGCAGCAGCAGAGGGAGCUUAAUACCAAGGACCCCCAACUACUGCCCAUGAAAUCCCUUGUCAUAAUUGUACAGUGUGAGGCCAAGCCUCCAAGUGGCUGCUUAUGGUUGGGAAAUCAAGACAGAACCAUUUCUAGGAAACCAGCACCACUCAGACAACUGACUUUGGCUUGAGAACUUCCCAGUGGACUUGCUGAGCCCACUUUAAACCACACCUGUUCAGCCUCCACUCCCCCACAACUACUUUGGCUGUGGUCAGACUAUCAUGGCAGCCUGUCAGCUGUCCCACUCUCAUGCGUCCCUUCUCCACAUUCUCUUAUGGGCAUUUCCCCUAAUAAAAUGCCUGUAUGUUUAAUUCCAUCUUGGCCUCUGCACAGAGAACCCUAGCUAACCCAUCACACUUGCCUGUCUCUUCUCCUACAUCUUUAGUCACUACUUUUGAGUCUCUUUCUC
rnacentral:lncRNA from 1 species